UCACCUAGUUAUUUGUGAUACAAAUUACCAAUUUGUUUUUGUGUAAUUAAAACUUAAUUUCAAAUCAAAGUAGAAAUAUAUUGCUACAUUGAGCUUCUUAUCUGCUCUGCAACAUACAUAAUUUAAAUACCUUUAAUUAUCAAUUUUCAACUGGGAAAAUUUCCCCUAUAAUUCUUUAAUAAUAAUGCUUUGUGUAGUGCCUUACUAAGUAUCUCAAGAAUUCAUUUCACAAAGUACCAAUUUAAUAUACUGUCCUGUAAGUGUUACCUAUAGACUAAUAGUAUUAUAAGAAAAUGUGAUUUCAAGGGUUUUACAUUUAUUAUUAUUCAUACAUUAUAGUACAACAAGUGAGAUAGUUUUCAGCCACAUUCAAUUAUUUUUUGUACAUAGUUACACAUGGCAAUUUAUUUGGGGUAUGUAAAAAUGUGGCUAUUUUUCAGGAAUAAAAUGGAAUAUAAAUUAUCAAGUUUUUUUUUCAAUUGAAACAAUACUGUUAUUUUCUAUAGGAUUCUUUAAAAAGUGAAAGCAAGGAAAUACAAACACACAUACCAACCUAUCUUGGUGUGGUGAGGUGAGGUGAGGAGAAGAGCCAUUCAACCAUCAUCUCCUAAAAAUUUCUUAGGCAAUAAUGAUUGAAAAAAUGUACUUUGCGCUUAAAUAAUGAGCAAUAUGGUUAUCUGGCUCUGUCUACCAAAACUACCUGGUAACAUUAGAAGAUGAUUAUAGAAUUACAUAUUAUUAUUGUUAUGUUUCACAUCUGGACCACAAAAGCAAUAUGAGAAAACCUAUUAUAAUGUGAACUGAAGUUGCAUUUUUAUAUUUUUUAAUAGAAUAUUGGAAUAUUACCACAUCUAAGAGCACAUCUAAUAACAAUAAAGACAACUUAAAUUCUCCUAAACCUCCCCAGUACCAAUUGCCUCCUGUUUUAAUGGAGCAGCACCACAUGUCAAGCACCCAGUCAAUCUCUAUAACUCACCAAGUUGCCUCUUAUUGGUCAGAAUGAAAAGCAUAUACACCUUCUUCAAGAAGUCAGGUGGCAUGAGGGAGGCUUAUUAGAGGACACACACAAAUGCAGAUUUAUCUAUUUUUAGUGAGGGCCAUAAAACUGUAAAACAGGGGCUUUGCAUGGAGUAAGCAUGGCACCUUACUUUUCAGUCAGAGAGAAAUGCCAUCAGAGCUAUUCACAUUCAAUUUAUGAGGGGAAGAAAUGGACUGAUGUAUAAGUGAGGGUGUUCAUUUUAUCCAUAUUUGCAUCAGGGUUGUUAUGUGUGUGUGCUGUGUGUAUGUGAAUAGGUGAGUGUCUUGGUAUAUUUCCAGGGUAAUAAAGAGAUUAAAUAUAAUUCAGGUAACA